AUUAUUUCUUUAUUUUUAUGAUUUUUUUCAUUAUUAUUUGCGAUAAUUUAAGAAAGUUAAAUAAUCGAAUAAUCAAACUUUAUUUUGUUAUAAUUAUAAGUAAACCAGGCGUCGUCUGCUACCGUGUUGUCAUCACAAAUUGCAAUUUGAAUUUCUUAGAAGGAAAUUAAAUUUAAUAGAUAUUUUUUAUUAUUAUUAUCGAUUCUUAUAGGAAACGAAAGGGAAAAAAAUACACCAAAUAAUAAAUACGAAUUACUUAUUUAUUGGUUUCGUAUAUUUUUAUAAAGUAGAGAAACAAGAUUACAAAAUUUUGUUGUUCCGCAGACGACAAAAGGAAAAAAUACUCUCCGCUAGAGGUCGUUGACCUGUUUGCCGACAUGGCGAUUGUUCCGAAUUUUCUCGCUCUUACACCCUUUCGCUGCGCUUUAUUUUACCAAUUUAUUUUAUUUCACGUUUAAAUCUUUUUAGAAUGAAUUAUUUAAUCAAAUAAAAUAAUGAUUUGAUACAAAAAUCUGAAUUAAGAUCGCCAUUUUUUUUCUUUUUUACCGUAGCAAAAUAUAUUUAAUGCAGUAAUUUUUAUGUAACUCAUUUAGAAUUGCCGAUGUUAUUUUUAGAAGUUUUCAUAAUUUUCUGCAUCUAAUUUAAUAGGCUGUUUAUGAUUUUUCUCUCUUUUUUUGUCAUCUUCUCCCCCAUUUUUCCUUUCCUUCACUAAACUCGAACCAUUAAGAAUGUUAAGUAAUUAGCGUAGUUGAAUUUAAUUUGAGGCUUUUCCCGUGCUAUUUUCUGGUUUAUUUAAUUUCAAUAUUCACUAAAAAUAAAUCAAAAAGAUUUUUAAUCGAGUAAACGAGAUGAUUUAAGCGGACUCGAAUCCGAUUUCUUGUUCGUAAGAGAAGCUUUAACCUACAUUUCCUAUUUAAUAUCAAUGGCUUCUACUCUUCGAACCCCUCUCCCGAUCUCUCUUCCUUAUAAUAUUUAAGGAUAAUGUAUAUAUUUUAAAAUAUUUAUAAUUAAAUUGCGGUUGUACUUCUGUAUUUUUUUUCUUUCUUUCUUUUUAAAUCGCUAAUACACGGUUGAAUGGAGGAGGAUGCAAGCUUGAAAUUAUUUGUCUCUCAGAGUGUAAGUAAAACUUUUCAAGCCAAACUCCGUGCCAAAGUUGAAAGAUGAUAACCCCAAUUUAUCAGAUCGAAUGCUUUUUUAAUCGUAUAUAUUUGGACAUUUUGAUUAGAUACACGCUUUAAAUCAAAAGAUAUGAUAGGCGAGUAACACUCACUCAUAGGAGGUAGUAGAAACUAUUAAAAUUCGGAAAUAAGUUUUCUGUCAGGAGGGAUAUUAUAAAAAUAUCUUUAAUCGAUUAUAUAUUAUCAGGAAGAAAGUUUUGAAAUUUGAAGAUAGAAAAUGGAAUUUACUUUUUGAGAAAAAGAUUCCAAUCAGAUCAAAGUCUGUUGUCUAGAACGUUUCCUGUCCAUUCCUAUUGUUUUAUGUUGUACAUAACCUUGUACUUUGACAGUUCGACCUUCAGACCUAAAGUAGCCUAGUCGAUCACUGGAUAUAGAAAAGGUCUAUUUUGUAAAAAUCUAACUUAAAAUGAUAGUAAAUCAAUUUAAAGAAUCGUCAUCGUAUGUUUAAAAUGUACCGCGCGCUCAUUCCCCGUAGGUAUCAUCGCAGCAACGGAAGAUGGCAAUUCUUAUAACAGGCAGAAUCAUAAGAUAAAUCGGAUAUAUGAUGAUGAAAGUUGUUUAUAAAAGUUAUAGAACUAAUCAUAUCACAGUAAUGAGAUUGUAAUUGUAUAACCUACUUAAGAAGUCGAGUGUGUGAGUGUGUUAGUUUUCAUAUUCCCUUGAAAUAAGUAGAUUUAUAAUUUUAAUAGCUUCCUUAAUGAAAACUUUUCUUAAUCGUUAUAUUAUCUAUCUAUUUAGAAUCGUUUUAAUCUUCCUUAAAUUUAUAAUAUACGGGAUAUAUGCCACCAUAGGGAUCUUAUCGUUUCGAAAAUAUAAUAGGCCAAUUAUAAAUUGUAAUAUCUUUAAAGUAAUGCUCUGUUUAUAUUCGUUUCUUUUACCAAAAUAUUUACAUGUUUUGUGGUUCAAUAUUUGCUUCGUUACGUUGUACAGUAGAUCUUCUUCAUAAACUAUAUGGUUUUUAUAUAGGCUACGUGUGUUGUAAGCGUACAAAAGUUGCACCUAUUGUAUAUUGUGUACGACCCGCCUACGUUGGAAUUUCAUUGAGAAUUUUUCACCCCUGGCUAAAGCUAGCUAAUAAAAGUACAAUUUUAUCGACAUCAAUAACUAAGUCGGUUAGUACAUAAAUUUACGUGAAAAUACGUCAUCAAUUGUUGCUUUUUUUUGUGGAAUUUUGCUUCACUUUAUCUUAAUAAUGUACUAUAUUUUAAUAUGUUUUUCCCCCUCUUUUAUUUAGAUAUGUUUUAUUUUUUGUAUUCAAAGUAUAAAUUUUAUAAUGGUGAAACGUGUCAUAUAAAGAUGAACAAAUUUAUGUUACGCGACUCAUCAAUAAUGUUAAAUCUGAGUAAUGUCCCUCCAUGAAAAAGUUUUCAUAAUUUCUGUUUCGGAUGAUAUAUGGUUUUAAUAUUUUAUAUUUCUACAGUUCGAAUUUUAUAUUUGCUAACGGUAUCCAUCUAUCCCAUUAGGUAUUUAAGGAACCAGGGCAUGGGAUCUGAAGAAAGUUUUACAGGAGGGAGACUAAGCUUGAAGACGUAUAUAUUUUUUUAUUUAAUUAUUUAAUUUUUUUGGGUAUUCACGAGAAAAUUAUAAAAUACAGGAUUGCAUCUAUACAGUAUAUUACUGUAUACAAAUUUACAAUAUAAAGGAAAGAAUUUUUUACUCGAUUCCACGGGGAAAGUGCAUUUACUUCCCUUUUUGAAUGCCCACAACAGUGUCUUAAAAGAAUGGAAAAAUGAAAAAAAUCGUGUAAAAUUUAACAAUUUUUUCCAAUAAAUUUAGCAAAUUAAUUUUUGUUAAAUAUAAAUUUCAAAAAUAACUUCUUUUUUUUCUGGUUUACCGUUAAUAAUGUGGAGAAAGCUCUUAUUAGAAUUAAGGUCACGUUCUCAAACGGAGAAAGUGAUCUCGGGUGAUCUUGACACAAUAUGACUUUUACAUAUUAGCAACAAUUACGAAAGAUAAACCUAAUAUACGAGCAAUAAUUUAUUUAAUAAUUAGAAAGAGUUUAAUACGAGAAAAAUUGCAAGAACCUUGCAAGAAAUUGCCUUUUUACACAGUUUCUUACGAUUAAAAUUAACGAAAAAAUAAAAAAAUCUUAUCUUAACGCACUUUUCUAUCAGUUAAUUCCACGUCAAAACAGAUUUAUUUUGAAAUGGGAAUUGUGUUUACGUGUAAAUUAUACAACUUUUAUGAUUAAAUUAGAUGAUACCCAUCUUUAUAUUGUCUAAUUAUAUUCUAUUUAUAAAUAUAAGUAGGCGAUGCAGAAUUAAUUAGUUCGUGCAUAAUGAUUUAUAAAUAAAUCUCGAUCGUGGGAAAAUGUCGGCCGGUUUAACGACCAGCCAAUAUAUAUUAUUAACAUUGUAUAACUUAGAAUUUACUUUGUGUACUCGACUGUACUUACGUAUGGAUGUAAUAAUAUAGGAAAUACUUCCGUUGUUUACGGGAAUGAAUUCAUUGAUUACGUAAUUCAACAAUUACAGUAUAGUUGCAACAAGUUUUGCUGUUAAAUAAGGUAAGCUUCUAUUUGUCAGAAUCGAUUAAAGUUAUUUUCAGUUUGAUCAAUUGAUUGGACGAUAAGACGUAAUCGAUAGUGGAUGUAUCACACGCAAUUCACAGCUUUUCGUGUUGAUGCAAUAACAACGUUACUAACUUUUUUUUUAAUGUUUUCAUGUUCAGAUAUUUGCUAGAAAAGUUCUCUUUCACCUACAAGGUCUCUAAUUUUACAGGUGGGUUAAGUGUUUAUUCCAAUAAUAAGGUUAAUUUUCAUAAUUUUAGCUUCCUUGUUAAUGAAUUUUAUCAACGUGAUACUUAGGGAACUUCGUGGAAAUUGUGAAAAAGGUAUUGUUAAGUCUGUCCCCAAGAUAUUGAGUUGAGAUACACGCGAUGAAUAUUUGAUAUUUAACAAAUUUAUUUUAUUUUUAACACUACACGAAGCAAAUAUAAAGAAAAAAUAAGGAUGAAUAUGUAAUUUUAAAUCGGAAAUUAAUAUGAUUUUUUUUAUUUAGGAUAGUAAACAGAAAACAAGAGAAAAAGCAAGUGUUGGACACCUUAAGUACGAAAACACCUCCGUAGCUUAUAAGUUAUUCCCCUCCUUUCCAGACCUAACUAAUCGAUCAGUAACCCCUAUCAGACAUUUGGCGUCUGACAGGCGGGUUUAGUUAUAUAAAAUUUCUUCUUAAUUAGAGUAUAGUAAUAUUUAUUUAUUAUUCUAUUCUAUUCUAAUCUAUGGCUUAGUCUCGAUGAUAUAAUAUAGGAAUUGGUCUAGUGUUUCUGUACGUAUGUAUGUAAUUCUACUUAAUGUUUGAAUAUCGAAAUUAUUUUAAUGCUUUGUACGUUAUCGAUCACACUUAGCACCUUAAAUCAAUAUUAGGGAUACAAUAGUUUAAAGCCCUAAUUCGGACUAUAUUAUGAAACGUUGAUGAUGACUGGCGAAUCGAUGACGAAACACACAGUUUAGCCUUGUUUUCAUACUUAAUUUCGUAAUAAAUAUGAAAACUGCUUAUUGUUUUAUAUAAUGCAAGCGUAAUUUAUUGAAUACGUUUAUCAUUUUGUUAAAUAUUACUGUUAUUUCUUACUUUGCAAACCGAAUUUUUAUUGUCUGAGCGUUUUAGUGUAUGGAACUUUUAUUAAGUGGAAGAGCCGUCGGCAAUCAAUUCAAACGUAUACGGUAAAACCUGUCUAAAACGGAAACCGGAAAGACAUUCGAUCGGUUUACGCAGGUUACGCCGUAAUCGUUAUAAAGUUAUUAACACGAAAGCCAUGAAUUAAUGAUUUCGAUUUUGAAAACGGAUGCCAUCCGCGCUGUUUACAUUUGAAAUUUUCUCGACUAAAUUCAUUCAGGAUCAACUAAUUUUCGCAUGGCUGUCUAUCCGUAAAGUAUCGAUCGAAAAUAUUAAUCUAUAUAUCCGAGUAAAAAGAAAAAGCGCAUAAAUUUUCUCCCGUUUUAUUAAAUCAGAAAUACCAAAAUAGAGAGAAGCCCCCUUAACGUUUCUCAAUGCUCGUUUUGGCAAACACAUUUAUCUGCAAGUCUCGUGUACGGAUGAGAAUAAUUUACCGUCAAUAGCCUUUGAUUCCAGACAUUAUUUACAAAUGUAAAUCCAUGUUCCAGGGCAUUACUCCCAAUUCAUUUGCAUUCAUAAACCUACACGGCAUCAUCCCACCAUUGCCACUCUCCCCUCUGAAAUAAAAGGCGAAUUUCAUUUUCUAAUUUUAAAUUUAUCCGCAUCAUAUAAUAAUUUUAAUAUAUUUCUUUUUUUUUCCCCUGUGUUUACGGGCUUAUCGAUUAAGGGUUACGCGUUGCAGGCUCCUAUUGUGUUUUUAAAAAUAGAUCUUAAGCUUAACAAUGUCCUGGCAUACAAAGGAUAUUUAAAAAAAAAUUAAAAUAAGCUUCUAUUAAACACAAUUUAAACUGGUUACAUUAAAAAUAAUUAAUAAAAUAAGUUUAUAAAGAACAUUUAAGCCUUUCCUUUGAGAAGAGACAUCGGUUUGAUCCUGAGAAAAAAUUUUUCAAUAUAGACGGCGUCACCUUGUCGUAACGGAAAAUGAAUGACGUCACUAGUUGGUGUCGUCACGUUCCGACAAAUCGACCAAUGACGUACUAUAACGAGCACGUGUUCUUUUACAUUACAUUCGAUAAUCUCGUCUUAAGGGUCGAUUAAUAAAUAAAACUUUUUAAUCGGAAGUUUCUUUUCGUAAAAUAAAUCUGACUAAAAAUAUUACAAUGGUUGGUUAGUGAUUGUUAGCGGAGGCGAAGGGCCAGUAGUAGUGAUGGGAGCAACGGUUUCUAUAGCAACGCGACUGGUGACAAACACCCACUGGUCAGGCGGAGAAAAAUGGGAGUAAUGUAAGUGGGAUGGCAAACCUUUCAGACUUUCAGGCGAGGGCGUCAAAAGUCAAAGGUCACCAUGGUUAAUACGUGACCUUGCCAAUUUAGUCGAGAUAGAGUGAAGAAAUUUGAUUAUUUUUUUUUUCUUUAUUUAGAAUAACACAGAAAGCUAUCUUCAGACUCUCCACUCUAAUUUUUAGUUACUUUUAAAAAUUUUUAAAUGGGACAAAAUGGCGACGCCUUUCAAAGUUUGUUCUAUUAGAUGAAUGUGAUGCCCAAUUCUGCAGCGAAAACUUCACGUGGCCUCCUCGGAUAAACGCGUAAAGACACAGAAGAGUAAUUUAUAAACAAUACUAAACACAACGUUUAGUGUUACAUUCCGUUGCAGCCACAUUCUCGUGUGUGGCACAUAGUUUUACACUUUUUAAUGGUGUUGUUGGUCGAGAUUAGAAGGUUGACGCCCGCAUCUGAUCAUCGUUUGUUAAACCGAGGAUACAGUUUGCGUGGCUCAAGAUAAGAAAAAUGAAGUAGGCCUAGUAAUAUCAGCUCAACAACUUCGUCUAUCUAAUUGAUAAGAUAACGUCUUUCCGGUUGCUCAUAAUGAUAGUAGGAAUGAAAUAUCGGAGUCGAGGAUUUAUUCACCGGAAAUAUCCUAAUAUUUCAGAUUAAAAAAUAAUGAAAGGAACAAAUUAGAUGGCUAAGAAGAAAGGAAACAGACACAUCUGUACGUGGCACGAAUAAGUGCAGCAAUGUCGAUGCCAUUAGAAGGUUUAGCAUCUAGUUGUAUCCGCUGAAUCUUCUAUAUCGCGUGACUUUAGAAAUAUUAUAAUAAUUACUAUAACAGAAUGUAUUUUAUUAACAACAACUUAAGAAUUUCUUAAGAUAAUGAAUUUGAAUGGUGGACCAGAAACCAUUCGGCAAAUGAGUGUAUGUCAUAUUCUAGUCGGUUUGUUUCAAAGCAUUUAGUAUUUAAGUUAAUAUAUUCCUUUGAUGGGGAGUAAGAACAAUGGAAACAGUGAAAUCCCACGCAUAUUAUGCCUGGGGAAAUUUUCCUAGCCGCACAUUCUGUUUAAAUGUAACUUUCUUGAUUAUUCUGCUUGCUGCUUCUGGGAUUAGCUCAAAUGUUACCAGAUACCUGGUUUAUUAAACAAGUUAAAUGUUUAUUUCGAAAUUAUUACUGGAAAGAUAAAAGUAAUUACAAAAAUAUAAUUUUCGUCUUAUUAAAGACAAUGCGUUUGUUUUGUUUAUUUUGCCGAAAAGACAGCGUAAAUAUUACUUGAGAAGCGAUAAAAUUAGUAUUUCUCACCAUUGUGAUUUAAGAUAACAAUUAAAUCGAUUGUUUGAUAAUUUUUUAAGCAUACAAUGAAUGUGAUGUAACUAUAAGGUUUUCCUCGGGGGACGAUGUGUGAGGAUAGUUUAAAAAGUACAAUCAGAAGAAAGGAAAAUUAAAGUUACCACAAAAUCUGUGGGAGAAUAAGAUACCAUAAAGUACCAUAACAUUCAGAGGAUGAUCUUGGAAGAUUGUGUAGAAAGUACAGUACAAUCAGAAUGAAGAAAAAUUAAGCAUACCAUAAAGCCUGUGGAGGGAUUCAACCUCCCUACAAGAUUUUCCUUUAAGUCUACCGUUGUGUAAUUAGUUUCCGAAUCAGAUAUUCAAAACGCUUCUUAAUAGAUUCGGAAAAGCUAUAUCAUGUUCACAAGGAAUAAAAAUACUUUGAUUUGUUAAUAAAAUUCUCCAUUUAUUUGAGUAUCAAUUUUCGUUAUAGAGUAUCUUCUUCCGCCGUAUUUCUUCCGUCUCGGUCAGUGCUCUUUUUUUUAGAGUGAUAACCAGACAAUGCAAUAUAACUAAAAAGAAAACAAUUUGGCAAACGUCCAGUGUUUCAUUGAACUAAACAAUAUUCUAUUUUAAGUAAUUUCCAUAAGCGAUAUGGAAUCAAUCUUCUUACUCGAGAUAGACUCGAGCUGACAGAAUUUCUUAAGAGGGAAGAGUUAUUCCUACAAUAGUAAUAACUAAAAUAUAUUCCAUUGUUUUAAUCCCCCUCUACACUACAAAAAAAAAAUCGAUUUAUAUAAUUAUUCCAGUAUUACGUCUCGGUUCCGAUGGCCACUUCCGGUUGCUUCACACCUGGUGUCGGACUAACUUCCGGUAGAGGGUGGCAAGUGACUGAGACGAUCGUCAUCGAUUGGAGAAAGUCAAGGUUCUUGACCUCUCAAAAACUUAAGUUUUAAGGUUUUAUUCGUAUACGAUAUUCGAAAAUGUUACGUCACAAUAGUAUAGAUCUUAAUCUGCGUUUUGCGGUUUUGUCUGAUCCCUAACGAUCUUAAUACAAAAUAUUUUAUAGUAAAAAUGCUUCUUAGAGUCUUAAAAAAAAAACGAUAAAUUUCAUCGAUUUUACACUUUUUCUAUAUAAAAUUUCAGGGUAAAUUUCUCGCCGUAUGUAGAUUUAAGCAAAUGAUUCAUGCAAGCUUGCAAAUUACCUUUAUCUAGAAGACAAAUCUAGAUUAUUUGCUUAUUAUUAUUGAUAUUUAGUUGAAUUUUUCGUAAAUUUUACAUGGUCUUAAUUUAGAUUCGGAUACUUAACGAAUGACGGUAUUUGUUGAGCCGAACGGCGUUCUCUUUGACCUCAAAUUGUUUCUAAGUAUGACCUUGUCUACGUUGACCUCUUUAGUUCAUACGAUGUAGUUGGGUGCGGUCCAGUAAUGAAGCGCGACGAAUUCGACGGAAACGGAAAUGAGGAAGCAGAGAUGAUUGGCAUACAAUUGAGAUAAGAAAAUCAUCUCGGAAUUUUUGACGAAAAUUUUUCAUCUAACGAUUUAUGUAUUUUUAACGCUCUAUGACUUUUAGAAGUGUUAAUCUUUUAUCUCGGCCAUUCGCUGAAUGCCAAUGAUCUAAUUUCUAGAAUCUCGGGUUUACAAACCUGAUCGGAAUUCAGAUUGAUCCGCGGUUCGAAAAUCCAAACUGCAGCCCUCAGAUAAUAAUAAACGAUAGUUAAUGAGGUGUAGUUUUUUUUAAUCGAGGAUCAUUAUUAAUUAAAGCUAUCCCAUCAAAAUUGGCAUAACUCUAUUAGUUGUGGACUGUUCCUUUAAGGCCCUAAGAGCAACUUUCACAUAAGAUCUUUUAUGCAAAACUGUGUUUUUGAAUGAAAAAGUCAAUAAAAUCCUUAAAUAAUACCAAAUUUAUAAUUUAUUUAUUUAAUUUGUCUAGUUAAUACACGACUUGCAACGUUAAAUUUCAUGGUUUUAACUGUACAAAUUGAUCGAUAAUGCUGCCAUAAUUGUAUAAUAAUGCCUUUUUAAAAGCGUAUUGUCUUUUUGCUACGUAAUUUUCGAGGCCUCUCGAAGCGACGAGGCCCUCGUCACGCGCGCCCAUUGGGUAAUCCUCCGCCGAACCUUAUCUAAUGGUAAAAGUUACAAGAAGAAAAUAAAAUUUAUUACGAAUAAUUUUUCUAAAUAUACUUUUCUAAUAUUGUAAAAUAUAGGCUGAUAAUAAUAUUGAUCGAUAGGGAAAUUUAACUUCUUUCUGACGAUUUAAAUACGGGUUGUUUGUGUGUUUAGAACUUCUUUGCAGAUCGAUACGUACUUUGCAGGCUCGAAAUAAGGUUUUAAAUUCGUUAAUAUAUAAAUAAAUGCGAUUUUUUACGUGAAAAAUUCAUCUCAAAACUACGAAAUCCGGCCUUUUUUUUUUUUAAAGUUAACGAUUUGCAAGACGAUAUCGACAUUCUAUUUCUGAUCGUAUCUAUAUGAUUCAUAUGCCUGCACUUAAAAGUUAAUUCUUUCUGUCUCAUCUCGUCCAUCUUAAAAUUCUAAUUUCGAUUCGGCUCGGAUCUUUAUUAUAUAUAUAUAUGUAUUUAGGGCGUUGGCAUUUCUAUCGAUAAUCACGUGACGGGACCGAACGUGCGAAACGAACUCUUCGGUCAGUUCCCGCAAUUAAGUAGCGCUUUUAUCUCACGCUCCCUUAAAUCCCGACCUCUUUUAUAAAAGUCGCGUCCAGUUUUGAAUCGGACGGAAUUCAAACGUAACCGACUCUAUUAGCGCGGGUUGCCGCCAGGUGGACGAGGACGUUGAACCAUGCCGGAAGUGACGUCGGCGAGUUGGAAUGCGUCUGAACCCAGUAACUCCGAACAAUUCGUCACGAAAUGCGAUUUCUUACACUCGGCGCCGAACGAAAUUUCGAAACGAUCCGACGAAAUAAAUUCUAAUUUUUGUAACCAUUUACAUAUUAUUUUUGUUUUGUUUUGUUUUGUUUUUUUAAAGUAAAUUUCAGUUCGGGUAGCGUUCGAAAUUUGACCCAUUUUUUUUUUUUUUUUUUUUUUAAAUGUCAGCCUUAAGAGUGGUCCAAAAUUUGCUCUUUCCUGCGUUUUUGGCAAUUAGCGGAUGAGAUCGUUUAGGAAAAAGGCCAGAGUGGUAAUUUAUAGAUUAGAAAAUUUGUCUUCUCCGGAUAUUUUUAGUGUUGCGCAAUAAAAUCCGCAAUCCAGUGGGGAAGUUCAAUAAAAAGCAUAGAGAACGUCUGGCUAACUCACUCGAAAAUUCAUAAAAAUCCACGGUAUCCGAAAAAGAGGAGAGAAAACAAAUAUUUGGGAUUCCUAACAAAAUUUCCUAAUAAUAAUAAUAGUAAUAAAAAUAAAAUUAAAAUUACUGCUCUGUCUCUCUUAAGUUCACAAUUAAAGGGUGAUUCUUAAUUUCCGAAAGCUGCCGAAAUUUUUCGAGUUGAUAAACUCUACUUAUCGUGAAAUUGCCCGAUCGCGCCACGUACAAUUAAUCAUUCAAAAGACGGAAAAAAUACCAAAAAUAACAAAAAUAAAAAUAUAUUAAAAAAAAAUUCGUUGCUGUCGUUAAAACGGGGAAGAAAAAAAAGCGGUCGGAGACUAAAACCACCAAGACAUUCCAGUUUAAAUUCCGUAGAAAAAGUCAAAUCGAUCCGGUAGCAGUCGAGCAAAAUAAAAAAAGAAAAAGAAAAAAAAAGCAGAGCCGCAUUGCUGCCAAAGGGAGGGGAUAGAAAAUGGCGACACACGUGGUGCGCGACCGGCCGAAACGCACGGGUCAUGUGACCUGCAGCGCCGUCGCAAUACGGCACGAGACGCGACUCCUCCCACCUCGAGAUGCUCCAGUCGAGUCGCACGUGUGCAAGGUAAGAGUAUGGGAGUAGGUUAGGCUUAACUAACCUUCCUGGUAUUAACGUCGGGGGGAGGGUGUAUUUCACGGGAUUUUUAGUAAGUUUAGGAAGGACGCACGCUCGGGUUAACGUCGCCUGUUAAAUUCCGGUGUCUUGGCCAGCUUGCAAGGUGAGUAACGCAGUUCCAUUCCAGUCAUUGCUCGCAGUUUAAAAGGUGAGGUUAGAACGUUCCGUAGUUUAAUGUUGACACCCGGGUAGAGUGCAGAGUAUUAUCGAUUCGUCAUCGAAUCGUCUACGCAAUUUGGCGUUAAAGUCGGCGCAUGGUUUCUUAUUGUGUAACUGCGUCGCACGGAUCGACAGCGCGUAAUGUACCGAAAUUCCUAUCGUAUCCUACGCACGCCGAAGGAAAACGGGGUACGUUAGCCCCGGGCGUAAUCUGUCUUGCAACGUCUGGAUCUGGUCGGAUAAUGCCAUAUUAAACAGUUAAAUGUUACGACGCGGAAUGACGCAUUGAAUCGGUUCUUAAAUAUUCACAGCAUUUCCGGUGCCGCCUACCGUAUUACAGAUCACAACUGGGGGAAUUCCUUUGACGUCACGUGACGGAGCUUAACGUAAAAGGGGGGAAACGACGGAAGCUGGGUUUAUAGACCGAACGGGGAUUUCGGGACGUCUUCGAAGGUCCGAGUGACUCUAAACGCAAAAGUUGGUCGAGCAGACGACGAAAAUUUUGCGAUGAACAACCUAGUCGACGGCUAUUACGCAUGCGCCUAACCGAGGGUCGUUUCUGUACGCUUCACCUGAAGUCUCGAUCGUCUCUGCCCGAUCUAGAGGGAUUUUUUAAAAAGUCUCCUCUGUUUUUAACGGUGAGUUUUUAAUUCAUUUACUUCCAAACUCUUAAUUGGGGUUGCAAAUAAACGUUACGCUUAAAGUAGAAAUGAUAUCUUCACACGGGUGAAGAGGAAUACGCAGUUGGGUAAGGAUUGUAUAUUACGCCUUCUACAAGUUGUAGUUAAAUUGUUCUGUGUUCUUUUUUUACUUUUUUAAAGAAGUGUACGGUAGAGUAGAGAAUGACGAAACAGAACUAGCUGCGUUCCGAUGUUGGAAAGGCAUUCUUACCCCUAGGCACAAUCCCUUAAAGGUCGCUGCCCGUUUUGUAUCAAAGGGUUAAAAACAACGCGUCGCUUCCACUAGAAAAAUUUGUAAAAAUUGUUAAUGAUUUUGGCCAUUCCGAGAAUCGUUGCGUGGAACGAAUGCGUUUGUUUCACGAAAACACUCCAGCAAAAUCCAAAGGUUAGUUAAUAUUGUCUUGCAGAAAUCUCCGAGAAAUUUGUAAAACUGCUUACGAAUUUGAACAGGUGCCGCCUGUAACGAGGGUGUACGACUGUCCCGUUUCUUCUUAAAAAAAAAAUUCUUUAUAAAAUUGAUCGAUCGAUAUUUAGUUUUGUUUAAAAGAUUUAUAUAUUGCUACAAUUGAUCGACGCUUGGUGCAAUAUCUUUUUUUUUUAUUUAUUUAUUUCCACUCCUUUGCCUGGCUGCUGCUACAGGUGCGCGAUUUCAAAACUUUGAUUCUUAGUAUGUCAUAUAUUUAAAUUUUAGUGUUGUGGUUGGGAAAAAAAUCAACACCCUAGACAAGUCGAAAUUGGGUAGUGACGAAUCUUCCGAGAAUAGUUCCCUGAUUCAUGUGUUGUUGUACGUUGAGCUCGGAUUCUUGUUACGUAUUUCACGUGUAACAUAUUUAAAAACUAAGUUUUCUAUAAAUGUGCUAAGAUAAGUGGUCUAUUAUUUUCCUGUCUUGUUCGAAAUUUCAUUAGUAUUUCCAUAGUUGGAUCUCUCGUGUUCUUAAGUAACUUUGUACUCAGUGGUGUAUAAUUACGCACCAGCUUAGUUAUGUGCUUCGUAAUGGCACUCAAUUCUGCAAAACUGAAAAAAUUUCAGAUGUAAAUUUCAGCCAGCGGAGAAAUGGUCGAAUUUCGGGUUAAAAAAAAAGGGGAGAACUAUUUAAUGAUGCUUCUGAUCAUGCGAACGGUAGUUAGUAUGCGUGGUACAACCCGUAACGUGCAAGAAACACGAAGGGAAAAAAUAGUAGCCAUGAAACAUUAAUGGGUUGCGUAUAAUGUUGGCAUAGCAACUGGAAAUUAUGCUUGUCGAGAAAGGAUCAUCAUUUUUUUUUGCGCAUAAGUAGCGUUAUGAUUUGGCAGUCAUUAGUCAGAAAAUGGAACUUCAACGAUUAUUUCGAAUCGAAUAUCGAUUUAGUCGCGAAUUGGUUGAGCUUGCGCCAUUUUUCCCCUUCCUUCCUUAGGCGCAAGAGUUCUAUAAACCCUGGCUUCUUGUCCUUAGGUCGAAUACUCAAACGAUUAAAUAUUAAAGAAUCUCGGGCAGUUGGGAAACCAGUGAUCGUGUAAUCAGAGAAAGCGCUGAUAUCAUACUGUUUGUCAGACCUGUUACCGGCGUGUUUUAUAUAUAGUUUUUUUUUCCAGAAGUGCGAAGAAAAAAAUUUCAGUAGUAGUACUUCAGUUGUCUUUACAUGCCUUAUAUGACGUAACAGUCUGCAGUUAGAGUUUUAGAUCUUAAUUAGGCUGCCAGAUUUUUCGCUUGGAAAAGAGGAAAGAGUGGGUGUUCCAACAGCAAUUCUAGAAUAAACUGUUCUAUCUACAAUUAUUGUAAUUGUAAUAAUUAUUGUGUUCCAUUUCUCAUGACCCUUUUAAAAAAAUUUGCAAUACUGUUUUCUAAACGUCUUUUCAAUUGGGUUCAAAACAGGAACCACAACACAGGAUACCCGCUAGAGUUGUACCAACGAAGACUAUUCGAUGAAUAUAUACGGUACUAGACCGUGCUUUGUUUAACUAAGCGGGAGAAUGUGCCAUUAUUAUUAUUAUUUUAUUUUAUCCUGUUAUCGGAUGUCCGUAGCACCGCAAGGUACAGACGUGGGAGUAUCGUCGUCUUCGCUGUGCCGUCUGAAGAAAAAAAGCUGUCACCGUGCUGGUUCUUCACGUGAGACGUCCACAGUAGCUGCUGGACACGGCACAAGAUAUCCGUCGAUUCUUGUGCGUGUGACAGCGGCUAUCGUAUAACGUCAUGUAUCAUCCAGACGGAAGAAACGAUUAAAUAAGAGAACUCCCGGUUCGAAUACCGGAGAUGAUCUGCACAAAAAAAAAGGUAAGAUCGAUUUUUUUUAUUCCGCUAUAGGCAAAUAAUCCUUGUUAAACUUAGCCCAUGUGGUUUCUGUCCCACGAUGCAUUUUCCGAAACGUCUCUCUCUCCUUUAAAAUGACCUUGUAAUAUCUAAUUGAUCACGUGAUAAUAAAUGGGUAUAUCACGUGAUAAAAAUAAUUUUUUCCCCGAUUUAGUUAUUUAUCACGCAUGGCCGCCUUCGCAGUCACGUGACGCAUUCGGUCCUAAGAACGUACGAUGUUUACCGCGUACUUCGAGUAAUAAACCAAAAAGCGAGCGCUGAAACUCGAUUAAUUAUCCAUUUUAUGUAAUUAUAUUUAAGGAAGAGCAUCGGUAAGGGCCCGAGUUUGUAGUGCGACGAAAUACAGCGAAAUAAUGCCCCUGGUGUUCUCAGGUACUUACAUUUACUAAAGAUAUGAAUAAACGUAAGCUAGUUUAAACUAUAUUACGGCAAAAGGAAUAGCAAUGUUCAUCCCAACGCCUUCUCUCGCAAUAUUUUAUUCGUCAGUCUAGACGGUGGGAGUGAAAAUUCGAUAUUGCCAGUUCACUGACACUUUGACAUUAAAACCGAUGAGAGCGUAGCGCCAUCUUUUGUCCGGUAAGCAAAAUUGCCGCUUCGGGUUUCUCUCGCAUGCUUCGGUUAAAUUAACUGCCUGUAAAAUUAUAAUUUCGAUUAAAAACGCACACCACAUUAAAAAAACAAACGUUUUAAAAAUAUAUUGAUAAAUUGACGCCAUUUUUAUUCGGUAAUUUAAGAGAAAUUCAUUGUUAUGCGUCAUAAAACACUUGCGAAACGUUAUAAUUAUGAACUAUUGAUGAUAUUUAGAGUUUUUUUUUCGGCUCGAGCGCAGAAAAAUAUUUGCCUUAAUCCAAUAAUCAUAAUAAUGAUUAACUUUUUAGUAAGAAUUGAUUUUUUCCUCCCCCUGCCAGUUCCAAUAUUUGAUUACAUCUAAGAAUGUGACUUUAAAUAUCUAAAUUUGUAUACGAUAAUGUUAGAAAUUCAGAUUUGAAAUAUGAUUUAAAGCUAUGUUAAAGUAAUAUAAGGAAGUUGAGAAAUUGACCAUUGCCAAAAUCCAAUUACCGACCGCGUUAGGAUGCUAAUGUUCGUGAUGCAAUCGAUUGGACUAUUGAUAAGUACCAGCUUAAACUAGUUAACUUUUAUUUUAUGAAUUAAAAACUUUGAACGU